GAAAUAAUAACAUUGGCGACUUGUUAUUUGGAUUACUUGAGAUAAUGCAAGGGCUUGAGAGAAAGCGCCAUGGUUAAAAGCAAAGCCUUGCACAGCCCUGGGGUUUGUCUAGCAGAAAGCGUAACCUUUGCAAACACAUCAUUGGAAGCAUACAAAACCAUUUCCGUUCGCUACCUUGACCAGGCCUGACUUUAUCAUCAGCAGGACACAAUGUGGAUGAACCAGCUCUCUCCCAUUCUACGGAAGGAUCCUUGCCUAGUCGCCUGCAGCCCGACUGUUGCUCGCCAUAGGUGAAUGGGGUAAUCAUGGAUGCUAGAACUAGGGCUGGACAGAGUAGGGAGUUAUAUGCGGGACUGGGAAUCAUCUGACAUCAGGGUCCUGCACCCACCCACACGUCGGCUUGUUCUCGGCUUAUUCUUCCAAUUAUUCCGGAACUACACAGCAAAGGGGAGGAAGGAGACUUUUUGAAGUCAGGAUAAGCGAAGAAGGAAACAAGCAGGAAGGAAGGAAGGGACUCUGGUGGGAUGGAAGAGCGAGGCAGCCUGAGCGGACCAUGGACAAGGAAGGAUGCAGCAGAGCGAACUUGCGACUUCCUGAAUGCACAGAUGAUGCUACAACACCGAACUAUUCAUCCAGACAGUCCGCACUAAAGUCAAGGAAUGGUUCUCCCGGAGUGGCACACCCACAGCAACAGCCUCCUGGCACAGGAAUUGCUGCCAUUUACCAGGAGGGACGAGGCAGCUGGGUUGCCCAAGCACCGGAAGAGGCAAUCUGGUGCUCUCAUUGGGGCAAUUGCACAGCGUAAACCUCACCAUCACAGCCAGCCAACCAGUAAGCAACAGUGGCACUGCUGCCAGGAGGCUAUUGCUGUGGACCAGAGCUGCCCUGCCAGGUGAGCCAGUCCUAUUAGGCCUGGCGGCACGGUCAGGUAGGAUGGCUUACCCAGCUGCCAGGUUUCCAGGGUUAAAAGGCAAGAUAUUAUCAGCUGCUAUUUAUCUCUGGCUGCCUUUGGCCUACCCACUUAUGGCGCUCAACAAACGAGAACAACCUUUCCCCCCCAUCCGCUUUGUUCUUUACCAACCGUCUGCUAAAACCACAGGUAGCAAAUCUAUAAAGUGAGGCUGUGGAGCACAGAGGACGGCUUUGGCUUGCAAAGCGAGAGCUAAUUAUAUCUGUGGCAUUUGCAUCUGAGCACAUCUUUGUAGUUCUGUGCUUUCGCCUUUCCCCACCGCUGCAAAACCCGCUGCUAAACCCGUUUCCACGUGGUAAAUAAUGGAGGGGGGCACCUUUCAUCAAUCUGGGGAGGGGAAGCAAAGGGUUUAAGUGCUUUAAGGAGGGAUCACUGAUCCACCUUCACAGUGGUUUCUCCAGUGGUGGCAAAACUAAGACAUUUUCCCCCUAGAUUGAUUUUUGAUUUUAUUGUUAUUUAUGCUUUAUACCGUAUUUUAUGCUUUUUUUUUGUAGCAUCAAUUGUUUUAAAUUUGUUGUUAGCUGCCCUGAGCCCAGUUUCCUGAACCGGGAAGGGUGGGGUAUAAAUAAAAAUUCAUUAUUAUUAUUAUUUAGCUGCCUGAGGCAAAGGACAAGAUGGCGGUCUCUUCCCAAUUCCAUGUAUGGAAGGCGACUGGACUGGCUGAACACCAGCAUUGGUGAUGGGGCAGUAUCCUUUUCUAUAACCAAAGGCAGCAGGUUAGCUUAGAGAGCUCAGGCUACGUGGCACCCACAAAAACACUGCUUUUCCCACCUGCCUAAUGGUAGAGCUGGUCCUGAGCAAAGGUCACUACCUCAUCAGAUAUUUUGAUACAGCCUCCACUGCCUCUUCUCUUCUCUUUCCUUUUUGUGCAAAAGCCUUUUGAAACGAAUAUAUCCAGCAACCUACCCACAAGAUCCCUCCCCCCCAUCAUAUGGGUGGGAUAGCAAUUAAUUGCCCCUUUCCCCACCCUGUGUUGCUCCUACUGUGAGCUUGAGAGCCCUCCCCUCAUCCCCACUGCAUUUCCCCCCCCCCAAAAAAGUGCUCAAAAUAUGGUGCCACAACUCUAUAGACUACCCUGCAGGAUUGUCGUACACUUCACUCACCCCCACCCACCCACCCCACCCCCACCCAUGGGCAUAAGUGCAGUGUGCUACUCUGCAGAGCUGGCGUAACCCAUACUCUCUCAUCCACCAUGUCCCACUCCCUAUGGUCCCAAUACGGGUAUGCGAAUACGGAUAUAGAGAAACAGCAACCCUUGUUCCCACAGAAGGAAAUGUAGUACAGUAUGGUAUUUGAGAAAGCUGUGGAUUAAAAAGUUGAAGCCAUGUACCGUAUUUUUCGCUCUAUAAGACGCACCAGACCACAAGACGCACCUAGUUUUUGGAGGAGGAAAACAAGAAAAAAAAUAUUCUGAAUCUCAGAAGCCAGAACAGCAAGAGGGAUCACUGUGCAGUGAAAGCAGCGAUCCCUCUUGCUGUUCUGGCUUCUGGGAUAGCUGCACAGCCUGCAUUCGCUCCAUGAGACGCACACACAUUUCCCCUUACUUUUUAGGAGGGAAAAAGUGAGUCUUAUAGAGCAAAAAAUACGGUAGUUGUUUGAGGGCCAUUUUGAACUGUACAGUUUUUAAAAGUGUGGACCUUAAGACGAUUUAAGCGUACUCAUGAAAACGUAGUGUUUGAAUGUGGCCAAACACCUGCUUGGCGCAGGUGUACCUGCCUACCACCCUGAGCUUGCAAAACUGUGCCAAUCCUGGCCGCUUGGCAAGAACGCUGGGUUGUGGCUGAAUCUGGUGUGGAGCAGUCCUCGGGAGAAGCAUAAGCAAGCUAGAUGUCCCUGGCUUAAUUGCAGGCUCCAGGGAUUGAAGCGGGUGACCCUGUUAUGUAGAUCUGGUGGUCUACCACUGAACUCUGCUCCCUUCCUCCUCCUUCCUGCUUUUCAAAGACUGUGAGACUUUUGCAAAAAGAGGCAGCUAUCUUGUUAAAGGUGACGCAGUUGGUAGGUCUUGCAUCUGUGGCUUCUCUGCACUGAACUGGCCAAGGAAAAGCUUCUCUGUGCACAAAAAAAUAACCAGCGUCUUGGUUCCAACAGACCCGAGACUUUGAGGGGCUUGAUUAAAUAAGUGCAAGUCCUUCUGACUGGGCAAAAUGCGGAAGUUUUAAUUCAGCUGCCAAGACAGGCCACACAGCCUUAGAUUUCCCCAGGGAGCCAGCCUGACAAAGAGUUAAGUUGACAUUUCUAGGCAUGCCGUUAAUGAUUUCCCCGCCCCUCUGAAAUUACUGAAUGAGGUCUUUCCAGCGUGAAGAAAGGACUAUGAACUGGUGGGGAGAGAGAGAAAUAAUGGCAGGAGCUUAAUUAACAAAAAUGGUUUACCUUCUGAAAUUCAAUGUGAGAGGGGAUGGGAGAGAUCAUUCGGCCUUGUUAUUCAUUAGUGGGUAGCUUCUAUCCCAAGUUUUCCCUGUGCUAAAACCAUUAAAUUAGAUACUACUUUGACGAUAGCGUCAAAGUCCGGAGACAAGAAAUCGUUCAGAAGAGCAGAAGGCAUGGAAGGUGUUCUGGAGAUACUGCGGAUUUCUCUUACUCCAGUGUAGGAAAAGCAUUUCUGUCAUGCUGCUAUUGGCCUUGUCUGCACAUCACUCUAAAGCCAGAUUCACUAACCUGGUGCCCAUCAGCCCUGGCCAGCUUGAAGGGACCACUACGGAUCUCUAGUACACAUUCACACGAACCCCAGGACCAUUUGGAAAAUAAUGGGGCAGGACGGGUGCCAAUAGCCCCUCUGGCGUUUCCCGAUUUUCAGUACAAACUGUGGAACUGAAACCGGGGGCAGGGGGGGAACAGCUUGCGUCUUCAACACUGCAAACUUCAAAAAGCAAACAAGGCUAACAAACAAGCAAACUGAUGCCCAGUUCUCCUCCGUAAGCACUUCUGCCUUGUUGGGUUGUUGCAGCUACAGAGGUCAAGUGCGUUGCACAUUUAAUUCAGAAGGAUGGCAUUUUGGCUGGUUAAGGGAAAGAAACUAGGAGCUCAAGAUGAGGAACAUCUAAAGGAGUUGGGCAUGUUUAGCCUGGAAAAGAGGAGACUGAGAGGAAAUAUGAUAACCAUUUUCAAAUAUUGUCACAUGGAAGAUGGAGCAAGCUUGCUUUCUCUUGCUCCAGAGAGUGGCUUCAAGUGAUAAGAAAGGAGAUUCCGACUAAAGGCCAGGAAGAACCUUCUGAUGGCAAGAGCUGUUUGACAGUGGAACGGACCCCCUCAGGAGAUGGUGGGCUCUCCUUCCUUGGAGAUUUUUGAGCAGAUGUUGGAUGUUCAUCUGUCAUGGAUGCUUUAGUUGAG